UCCGGGGGGUGCAAUCGUUAUUCGGAAUUAUUGGGCGUAAAGGGCGCGUAGGCGGUUGAAUAAGUCAGAUGUGAAAGCCCUUGGCUUAACCAAGGAAGUGCAUUUGAUACUAUUUGACUUGAGUAUGGGAGAGGGAAGUGGAAUUCCUGGUGUAGAGGUGAAAUUCGUAGAUAUCAGGAGGAACACCGGUGGCGAAAGCGACUUCCUGGACCAAUACUGACGCUGAGGCGCGAAGGCGUGGGGAGAAAACAGG
rnacentral:rRNA from 1 species